UGUGAAGCGGCUGGGAUGAGAAUCAGCCUCCAAAUCUGAGACCAUGGUCCUCAGUCGGAAAAGGGUGGCGUGCCCUCUCCAGGUCGGGGAUGAGAUCCUGCCCCAAGUGGAGGACUUCAAGUUUUUUGGGGUCUUGUUCACGAGUGAGGGAAGAAUGGAACGGGAGAUGGACAGGCGGAUUGGUGCAGCAUCUGCAGUGUUGUGGACUUUGUAUCGAUCAGUUGUGGUAAAGAAGGAGCUAAGCCGAAGCUACCAAUGCUAAUGAUAGCCAUGCCGCUACACAGUAAAGGCUAACACAAGUGGAGUUGAGGUAUUGCAAUCAUACUUGUUUAAAACUUUGCCAAGUAAUUCGGUACUGGAGAUUAUUUUAUUACUUGUGUUUUUUGAUAAACAUUUUGCUAACAAUUUGCUGUUUUACAUACAAAAUGACUAAAAGCUACUUACAGUAUAUGUCAAGAGUGGCGCGGUAAUAUUUAUACAGUAUAUUCAGGCAUAUCAUUCGCGUAAUUGCAUAACUGCUCAAGUCAUUUUUAACUUACUGUCACAAUAUGUGCUUGAUAAAAUUAUGUUUUUUUUCUCUUUGUCUGAGCUGGAUGAAGUGGCUGGGGAGCGGGAAGUCUGGUCUUCCCUGCUAAAGCUACUGCCCCCACGACCCGACCUCGGAUAAGCAGAAGAAAAUAGAAGGCUGGAUGAAACAAACAAGAUUUACUUGGUUGUUUAAUUUCACACAAAAUUAGUGAGCAGGCAUGACAGGCACCCAACUAUUUGCAUACAAGCCAUGAAAAAGAUAAUUUUCCAUAUGCCCCCUUUAAAGUUUUGUCCUGUAUGUACCUCAUCUGUAUGUCUUCAUAUCAGAACGUCUUGAAGCUGCUCGUGAACGCAGCAGUCGCGAUGGACGCUGCAAUUGUUUUCCAUCGUGACAUCAAAAUGGAAAACGUCCUCAUUGACACCAGCUCUGAGGUCCCUCGUGUCUGGAUCAUCGAUCUUGGAAACGGAUUGUUUGGGACCACUUUGGUGCAGAAGCAUUUCUUUGAAGUUGCUGCAUGUUGGGGAGUACGAGCCCUACCGCACUACUCUUUCGUAGCUCGGGAACCUGAUCUUCGAAAUUUUGCAUUGUGCUCAAUUUGAACUUUAGGAGUUCUUCCUAAAGAAGCAAAUUGACUCAAGACUCUCUAAUACCUGCCAGGAUCUCCUGAGAGCAAGCCUGACAAGAGACCCUGACGCCCGUACCACUCUCUCCCAGCUCCAACAACACCCUUGGUUCCACUGAGGUUGCACAGACCGUCCCCUGAAGACUACUGAUCAGCAUAUUUUAUUCCUGAAAUUGUCGUAUGAACUGCAUAUAUUGCUGUACAAAGAGAUCAAACAGUGACUAGAUGCUUCAAUUUAAAUCACACUGUGUUUAUACUGUAUAUUUCGUCACGUCUCUUUUUAUAUUUGUAAAUUUUAGGAAAAGUGACAAAAAAACUCUAUCAAUCUUUGUACUCUAGAAGGCUUGCUAUAUGGAUGAAAUAAUACUUCUCGAUUACAGUGGUUUGCUGUUGUACUCAAACAAACAAAGUACAUGACCGAAAGUGGAAUUUUACAGAAAAUGUUAUUAAAUCUACAGGGGAAUCUUAGGAAACAAUGCAGAGGGACUUUACUCCAAAAAGGUACAGAUAAACAUUUGUAAAGAAGCCUGAACUCGUGACGUAAGUGUGGGAGGAGUGGAUGUGCAGUGAGUGAUGCUAGAGCUGGGAAUUAGGUGACCACUCGUUUAAUCCCAAUAAUGCACCAAUUUGUAUUUGGUAAUCAUCAAGAUGUACUCAUGUUGUGCAGAACAAAAAUAGGCAUGCGUUUCAAUCCUUCCGAUGUCUGGGCAAGGAUGUCGACAGGUUGCUUUGAAGAAAAAGGAGGAAAAAGAAAAGAAGAGUAGAAUGGCUGAAGCGCCUGGGUGACGUUGUUCGUCACAUGCUCAGAGAAUUUGCGCACGCAAAAGUGUAGUUGGGGAAUCGGCAGAAUGUCUCUGCGCUCAGUAAUUAGUGAAGUGGCAAGGAAGAUUUGGCCGGGCCUAGCCCAUUUUGCCCCCCCCCCCCUCCACACCCCCUGUGGUGAGGAGUGGGCUUUGGCUGGGAGCCAGCGUCUUCAGUGGAGCAGAAGAACAAGAGUCAGAGAACAAAAGGAUUCGGUCUUUUGUACCAAGAAAAAGGGGAGUUGCCCCAAAAGACCAGAGCGGGAAGGAGAGACCACACCUCUGAUAUUGAAUGUCACUCUAAAGUUAUCUGGUCUAUAUUCCGUGGACCUAAAAUAAGAAAAUGAAUUCCCAGCUUUUGCAUUGUCUCACACAUCAUGCAAUGAGUGUUUCAACCUUAUUUGGUGGCUAAGAACACUUCAUAUCCAUGAUGUAACAUUCUGUCUGAGGUAAAACACAAUCGUCUUAUUUGGUUGACAAACAGAUUGGACAGCAGACCUGUGAAAAAACAGUCAUUAGUUGCAUUUGUAUCAUGAUAUACACUUGGAGCAUCGUGCAGGGUUCGUAAAAUAUCAAAACAGAUAUUUAACCCGGUGAAACUGUGGAUAGUAAUUUAGACUCUGAAAUGCCAGCGGGCGUUGCCCGUGCUCCACCGAUGAUCCCAGAUGGUUCAUUAUACUUCAUUUGAGUUCCUGCGAACGUCGAUGAUUAAUAAUUCCAUUGUGGCCUGUCUAACUAAUAACUCCGUUGUUGCCCUUGUCCCGAAUUGUCACAUUUGAAAAGAGGGUUUCCCAAAUUCUUGGUCAUUAGAUCAGUCCACAGAAAAAGGUCUUUGUUGGUGAAGACAGUAAGAAUUGUCAGGAGAGAGGACUGUUUAUUAGUUUAUGGCCCAGUUGAUAUAACCCAGGUUUCAUGUCUUGUGAAACAGAUCGUCUGGUUGAGGGUAAUGAAUCAGAAUCAGAAUCAUCUUUAUUUGCCAAGUAUGUCCAAAAAAAAACACAAGGAAUUUGUCUCCGGUAGUUGGAGCCGCUCUAGUACGACAACAGACAGUCAAUUGACAGGCAGGAAUGCAAAGGUCAGCAGC